CUGCAAACACGCAGCAUGCAUGGGUCUAGAGUAAACCCGAGCAUGCCUAUGAUGCUUCUGAGGAAAUGAUGAAAUGGUUCGAGGCCUUGCUCUGCUCCAUUGAGAGCAAGGUUAUAGAAAUUUCAGACUAUU
ensembl:snoRNA